rnacentral:tRNA from 7 species
GCUGGUGAGUCUGAGUGGCUCAGGGAGCUAGUUCUCAAGCCGGUGACCCGGGUUCGAUCCCCGGUGUUGGCA